rnacentral:piRNA from 1 species
CCAGCUGGCUAUUUUUGGGAAGUCUU